UGAGGAUAUCACUAGUUAUUCUGAUUUUAGGCAGAGAAUAUGAUCAAGACUUUUCUGGAUGGAUAUAGAUAGAGGAUCGAUAUUUCUUGCCUCACACCAGGACUGAAACCAGUGCCAUUUGUGAAGAACCCGUGGAAUAAGUGGAAUUGGGGAAAAGUGUACAGCAAGUGGUGUAUUCCCCAAUUGAUAAGAAAGGCAUCUCCCUGGGAAGCUGUGCAGAUGCCUGCUCUCAAGCAGUAGAGGGUGGAGGUAGGAACUCAUCCCAACUCCAUCUGCGACCGUGGAUGUGGACGGUUAGGGGGAACUGGCGGGCCGGACCGUGUGAUGCAGAAAAGGCGUGAACGGUGCAAGAUGGCUUCUGCGCAUGCACGGUCCACCAGGGGCUACUGCUACAGAAAACUCUCCAAGCUGCGGUGCUGGGACGAGCCCGACACCUUUGGUGGAGCACCCACGAGGACACUACUCGAAGAAGAAAUGGUUUUAGGAGAAGGUGUGUACUUUAAAAAAAAAAAAUCUAGCACACUAGGCAAUUUUUCUAUAGUUUCUUAAGCUGCUGAAUGUUUGUAAACAUUGUUAGCCAAAUUCAUCUCUGCUGUAAAUAUGGUUUUUCUUCUAUUAUAAGAUCUUCCUCUCCCAUAAGCUCAUUCCCUCACUUUUCUGAACCAGGAUCAAUUCUCUUUGGCAUCUCCCGAGAGAAGAAACACAGCAGAUAGGGCACGGCAAGAAGUAGCAAAGUGGCCUGUCCUAAACUGCUUAUGGACUGCAGUUCUGACUUUGCACAGCACCAAAUGCUAUAACUACUCCUUGUCACAUCUCUUUCCUCUUCCAGCUCCAGCUUUUCCCCUGUGUGUAGUUUGUGAGAAGCAGCAGCGUAGGGCUUUCAUUGCACCUGCACUACACCUGAGAUGACAGAAUUCUUCCCUGGACCUUGAUAGUUCAUUUACAACCCCUACACACCACAGCAGCAGAGGGGAGACUUAGCCCAAAGAUAUUCAAAAAGAAUUAUGGGCCAGAUCUAAUACUGGCAACAGUGAAUAUAGCUCCCAUUGGUGUCAGUAUGUGCUUUGCACCAAGGCUGAGUCUGGCCCCAUAACUGAAAAGGACAGCAUUAUUUGAGACAAAGCUAUGCACAAAACUCAAGUUGACCUUGGCCUAUCAGUUUUGGCUGCAACAUGUC